UCUCCGUUGGUGAACCAGCGGAGGGAUCAUUACCGAGUUUACAACUCCCAAACCCAAUGUGAACGUUACCAAACUGUUGCCUCGGCGGGAUCUCUGCCCCGGGUGCGUCGCAGCCCCGGACCAAGGCGCCCGCCGGAGGACCAACCAAAACUCUUUAUGUAUACCCCCUCGCGGGUUUUUUUACAACCUGAGCCAUCUCGGCGCCCCUCGUGGGCGUUUCGAAAAUGAAUCAAAACUUUCAACAACGGAUCUCUUGGCUCUC
rnacentral:misc_RNA from 1 species